CAUUGUUACUUUCUUCUGCAAUAUUUUACUUUUUACUUAACAGUUAGGAAUCUUGACCAUUGGCUUUUCUUUCUUCUGCAAUAUUUUACUUUUUACUUUCCUCUAUCUCUGUAGUGUCUCUUCCAUACGCCCCUUUUCUCUCUCUUCUUCCAUCUUCACUUUCUCUAAAACCAUCAACAAUGAGCAACUUCUGAGCUUUCUCACCUCCAUCAAAUGCAGUUGAAUUUUUUUCAAGUGAUGGCUAUCCAAUUUAGCUGUGACCACUAAUCAAGGCAAUUCGCAAGUUUUCGAUGUCGGAAACUUGCACGCUUUCUCUAUCUCAGUUUGAAGGUGAAAUGAUCGGUCAAAGAUUUAUGUUUUUUGUUACCUGUCAGUUUGAAGGGGGAAAAUCCCAAAUUUUGAAGAAAUUAAGAGAAGAUGAGGCCUCGGAGGUAGAAGAUCCAUACUAUUAUGGGGUGGUUAAGAAAGAAGCCGCCGAAUGUGAAGGCGUUUCUAGCGGUGGUCGCAUGAAUGGCGGCUCUGGCUUUGCCGACCUUGCUGAACCUGGAUAUCUUGUUGUUGCAUGCUUUUCAAGUUCCUCACUAUUCUACUGAAAAAGAGGAGAGAAAAUGCGAUGAUCGGCGGCAGAGGUAAUGGUGGUGGCGAAGUUUCCGGCAUCAAACUGCCGCCAUCUAAAGACUGCAACCACUUAAAAUAUAAAUGAGUUUGUUUUAAAAAUGGUUUUAUUUUCUGAUUCAAUUCAAUUAGUUCAUAAUUUUGGGAUGGUUUAAUUCAAUUUGGUAUAUAAAACAGGUUUCAGAUUAAUGUUACAAAUCUCAUUGAUUUUAGAAACAAUAUAAAUCUACUUCAAUUAAUGUUCAUUGCACAAACCGUGUCUUUAUUGUGGCAUAGGGUCUGAUGCUCAAUGAUGAGAAUAGUUUUUGAUGCUCAAUGAUGAGAAUCAUUAGAUAAUAGUUGCCUUAAGAUACAAUUGUUCUUGAGUGAUAUUGAUAUUGUCGGAAUUUGUCAUGAAUUUACAACCUUUUGAAGUUGUUUGUUCUUUCCGAAAAAUUGACAAGGAAGUAUUUUUGGUGUUAGAAGUCUGAAAGGGCACACAUUUCUAAUUAGACUUAGUUAUUGUAUUUAAUUUGACAAGAUCAGAGAAGAAUGAGAAAUUAUUCUCCUUUGUCGUUGUUGUAAGAUUAAAUUUUCUCUUUCAAAUUAUAAUUUAUGGACUUGCUUCAUUCUUUUUGGAAAUGCAAUUGGAUUUUGUGCAGAACCCAUUAUAGAUAUUCCUUUAUUAGUUUGGUUUUAACUUUUUAUUUGAGGGCUUGAUGUGUUGUUUGAUAUGACAGGCAAGGUCAAAGUACCGGAGUUUUUGAAUGGGAAAGGGAAAGGAGUAGAGGCUCAUGUGGGGAAGCUUGAGUCUGAGUUUGGGGACCUUCAAAAGUUGCUUGUCGUUCGCACUCUUAAACUCAAGAAGCUUGAUUUUCCAUGUAAACAUGAAUUUUAUUGCUAAGCUAAGGACCGGCGUUGGUGUCUUCGUAGAGCUUGCUCAACAGAGACAAAAUUCAUCGUUUAAUUUAUCCAUUUUCGUUCAAGAAGAAAUGUAUAGACUUAUAUUUGAGGAUAAAUUACUAAGUGCAAGUAUGAGUAUUAUGUGUACCACAUUUAAAGGAAAUAAGAAACUUAAUCAAUCUAUAACCCAAGUAAAAGCUACUCCUAUAUAUUGUCAAUUAAUAUCUUGGAUUAUAUCUUACUUUGAACUCAAGUAGUGUGGGAUUUUUUUUUGGUUUUCCAUUGCCAAUUUUCCAUGCACGUGUUGGUUAAAGUUGAUGUUAUCAAGAUACUUGAACAUGCAUAUGCAUGUACCAAUAUAGUUUGUAAAAGUGCAUGCAUAUUCAUGGAAAAGUAUCCUAGACCAUCUCUGCAUCUCAUGAAGUUAAUUAUAUGUGUAUAUAAAGGAAGUUGUGAGAUCGAUCAUUAGGAUGAUCUUUCCGUUACGGACUUAUUAGUAAGAUAUGACUUCUUUUGAAAAUUAGUUUUUGAGAUUUUUAUGAGUGACUAAAUAUGUAUGGUAAAGAAAGUCACAAAAGUAUCACCUAAAUUUAAACGGAUUAAGAUAGUUAAUAUCACGCUAUCGCAUGCAUUUAUAUUUCAAUGUGUCUCGUUCAAGAAUUAUUAGAGAUGUACAUAACAAUCCCCUUGAGACUCGACAAAUUAGAUAAUUUAUUUUGUGUAAACAAGCAUAUAUAUAAUUCGUGUCGUUUGAGAAUUUGUAAUUCUUCUUGCUCUACGUACAUGAGUUCUCUGCAAUUCUGAAGAUAUUUCUUCACCAUUGUGGUUUUGGUUUAGUCAUUUUUUUUUUUUGAAAUAUUUAGGCAUAUAUUAUUAUAUUUUAAGUAGCAAGUAUGGUAUUAAGCUUAUUAUUUGACGUAAUAUCUUAUUUUAUUUAUUUUAUUCGUCUUCUAGGAAAUUGCUCAUACAGAUUUGCCACCAACUUAUUCCAUCAGAUUAGGUCUUGCGAACUUUGAAUGCAUUUAAAGAAGCCACAUACUAUGGGUGAAGAAAUUUUAAAAGGACUGCUCUCUUAUCAUGCAACUAUUGAGGGAAAACCUCACUCUCUGAACAUCAAACCAAGAAGGAGAAUGAGAGAUUUUUUUUGACACAACGAAUGAGAGACAGAGAUGGGAGAGAGGCAAUGCAUUUUUUUUAUUUUUUAUUUUUAAUUUUCUUUGGAAAUAGCUUGAUUUAAAUAGCACAUCAGUUUCCUCUCAAACACAUUACACUUUAAAAAUACUAUUAUUACUUUGAUUUCCAUUCAUAUUUUACAAUCUACUUCGUAAUAAACAAGGCAUUUUUUUAAUUGUUUUGAUGUUUCUUAUCAUAUUGUCAAAAAUAUUGAAAGCUUGGAACGUGACUUCAUUACUGGCCAAAUAGACAAACUAUUAAGAAUUGCCACCUAAUUUGGAAUGAACGAAAAUAUUCACAUAAUCACAUUCAAAAUAUAUUUCUAAAAUGAUACUUCGUAUAUGACAAAAUCUAAACAAAAAAAAAAAAACUCUAAAAGUAUUUUGCAAUAAACAAUAAUUAAACCUAUUAGCUACAUAUGCACUUCUAAUUUAAAUCUAAGUUAAACGACUAAGCAAAUAAUUUCAGUACAUUUCACUACAUUGGGAGUUUGGGACACACUCUUGUGUGUGACCCAAACUAUUACAAGGUGUACACCAACCUCAAACGUAACUAAAUCAUCUUAUUUUUCAUAAAGGUUCUAUCAAAUUGCUUCGCGCGCAACGCGCGCAUGGAGCACCCCUAGUUUAAUUAAAAAUACGAGGUAUUACAUGUAUAUUUUAUUUCAAAUAAAAUACAUAUAAAAAUAUGAGGUAUUACAUGCAGUUUAAAAUAAAAUACGUAUAAAAAUACGAGGUAUUACAUGUAUAUGUCAACGUAAAUGAAUAUAUAAUAUGACAUAUAUGAGUAUUAUUUUUAUACGACGCAAAAUACUAAUGAAAUUAGUUGAAUAUCAAAUUUAUAAAACUAUAGAUAUAUUCAUUAAAACGCAAAAAACUGGAAAAAAAAAAUCAAUCAAAUAACAACAUUACGAUUAAAAACAAUAAAAUCACAACAAUACAACCAACUCCAUUGAUUAGCAAAACUAUAUAAUCCAGCAUUAUAUAAGUUAUAAUUCAUACAAUUAGCAAUAACAAUUAGGAAAACUAUGAAAUCUUUAUAAUCGAGCAUUAUAUAAUAUAUAUUUCAUACAAUUAGCAAAACUAUGAAAUCAAAAAUUAAAAUCGAGCAAUUACACGCGAAAAACAGAGCAUAAUCAAAAUCCAUUAAUUGAGUGACAAAUUACUAACAUUGAUUCAUGAACAAGUCGAGUAAACCAACUCCGGGAGGAAAAAUAGAAUCACAGUCACGAUCAAACAAAAUUGAGCUAGAAUCACAAUCACGAUCAAAUGCAUUUGAACUAGAAAUAUCCAUGGAAGCAGAGAGAGAAAUUGGGGGGAAAAUAAAAAAUUCAAGAGAGAGAAAAUAAAAUCAAAUAAGAGACAAAAAAAGAGGAAAUUAGGUUAGGAAAAUCAUUAUAUUAUUCCUUGAAUAGAAAGUUAACAAAACUAAAAAAAAUGAAAAAAUGAAAAAAAAA